rnacentral:snoRNA from 1 species
AUGCAUCUCUGACAGCCCUGGAGCAGUUAAUGUCUGCCGCUAAGAUUUCCACUAUAGAUGCAAGAAAAGAAGGUCCUCGUGCUUUCAGUCUGUCUGGUUAUGUCAGCCAAGAUUGAAUGGGUGAAUAUAGGA